rnacentral:lncRNA from 1 species
GAAAAGGCUUCUGGAAAUUGAGGAGACUAUUAAUCUGGAUUGACCUUGUGUGUAGCCUGAAUGCCAUGAAUUCCUCUCCUGUUAGUCUCUGUAGGAAAAGUAUCCCAAAGUGGAUUUUAUGUCUUCUCUUCCUAGGUAAAGAACUGUGUGUUGUUGAAGACUGUUUUCUCCAAAUCCUCCAAAAUGUCCAUGAUCAUCAAGAGGCUGGGGAGAGGAGUGUGGAUUCAGGAACCUGAGGUAUCCAACACCCACGUUCUGGGUUUCUACAUUGAUGUGAGAUAAAAAAGCAUCAAGAAGGUAAAUGAAAUGGGCAGAAAGAGUAAGAAAAAUUGGAAACACUUGACUGUGGUUAGCUUGGUCUGCCUGGAGAUAACAGAGUGUAUGGCUUACAGUGGGAACCUUGACCUAACCAAGCUAUGACCUCUUUCUUCAUAACAAAAUAAUUUCCUCCAUGUGUAUUAAAGUAUACAAAUUAUGUACUGAAAGAGGAUGGAGGCUAUUCCUAUCAACAAAUCAAAUUACCCAGAUCAAUGGUCAGAAGGAUUCCAGGCUUAGCAAAGAAGCAAAUAAUGAGAGAAAAAAAUCAAGGAGAGCAGGGUUGGAGUUAAUUCAUCUUUGUUACAAAUCUUCAUUGCAAAAAUAUUGGCAGCACCAGCCGUGAGAUUCUAGCUAAGGAUGAAAGGAAGAAACUCCUAUUUUCGUUCUCCUGGGGUAAUAAGGACUAAAAAUGAAUUGGACUGGGGAAAAAAAUACCAAGCAGAACAUUCUCAUCUGACUGAUCAGAUUUCUUCAUAAAGCAGCAUAUCUAAGAGUUUCAACUUGCUCCUGGAGAGAAUUGGAAACAUGGAGAGAUGCAAAUUAUAGGUGCAGUAAGAAGGAAAGUAAAUCCAACAAAACACUUUCAUUCCUUUUAUUUUAGUGAAAUAUUUCUACCUUUCUAGAGAAAAUGAGUGAAAAUAUCAGUGAGGGUGACAAAACACGAGAGACACCUAACUCUGGGAAACAAACAAGGGGUAGUGGAAAGGGAGGUGGAGAGGGUUGGGGUGACUGGGUGAUGGGCACUGAGGGGAGCACUUGGUGGGAUGAGCACUGGGUAUUAUGCUAUAUGUUGGCAAAUUGAACUCCAAUAAAAAAUAAAAAUAAAUAAAAAAUAAAAAAUAA